UUGCUCCCUGCAUUUGAAUGGGAGCGCUUAGGAAUGACCCAAGACAUCUUUUGGAUAGCCGUGGGCCUACCCAGGAAGGGGAAUCUUGAAGAUUGAAGCUUCCUGUGAGAGCACCCAGAAAAUGGCACCUACCACCAGCGAGAUUGGCCAAAAUGUUCCCGAACAGAUCACCAGAUUGCUGGAAAUGCAGACAAGCUCAAGGAACUUACUAUCAUAUGUGGUGGACGUGUCCAAUAGCAAAAAAAUAUUGGAUUAGAAUACGAAAGUGGCUUGAGGAGAUAAUUAAACAGCAAAUAGAAUUGAAACCGGAACUGUUCCUAUUAGGGAUACUUACAGGAAAUUAUGAUAAAAAAAAUAUUACAUGUCAUAACCGCAGCCAGGAUUGUGUAUGCACAAAACUGGAAAAAUAAUACUAUACCAUCAGAGGAAAGUGUGAUAAGGAAAGUACUGGAGUGUGCUGAGAUGGACAGAUUGGCAAAAGAAAUAAAAGAUAAAGGAGAAACAGAGUACUAUUUGGUAUGGAACGUAUAGUACAAAUGGUUAUCAGAUAGGUGCAAAAGUUAAGAAAGUGUUAAAGAAAGAAGACUUUGGAGUUAGAAAAUAGUAUUAAAUCUGUACAAAUAUAGAUGACAUAAAAUGUAUGUUUAUAAAAUGUAUGUUUAUAUCAAUAUAUUAGUAUGUAUAAAGAAGAAUGGAACCACAUAUAUAGAUAUGUAGACGUAAAGGGAAAAAUGGAUAUAUAACGGAUCUUUACUGAUGCGGAAAUGUUGCAAAGAGGAAAAUUGUUAAAAACUAUUAAAAAAUGUUCAAUUAAAAAAAUGGUUCAUUGGA